AGUCUAAUGGAGAAACUUAUGAAAAACAAUAGCAAAACAAAGAAGGAAGUGCAGCUGUGCACUCUCGGAGCUCCAGCUUUUAUAAUGGAAGAACCAAAAUUUUCAACAAAGGCAACCCGCCAGCCGUGCUGGCGAUCCGUGGGCAAGGCAAAUCGCCAAUGGUAAUGGCGAUUUGGCCUUGACUGACGCACUGCUGCACUGCCAUGGCAGGACUAGCCCUGCGUUCUGCACCCUCAGCUAUUGGAACUCGCCAGUUUGAUUGGCGGUUCCCUACGCUUUCU
rnacentral:misc_RNA from 1 species